rnacentral:rRNA from 1 species
AAUAUUGCGCAAUGGGCGAAAGCCUGACGCAGCCAUACCGCGUGUGUGAAGAAGGGUUUAGGCUCGUAAAGCACUUUAAGUAGGGAGGAAGGCCUGUAAAUUAAUACUUUGCAGGAUUGACGUUACCUACAGAAUAAGCACCGGCUAACUCCGUGCCAGCAGCCGCGGUAAUACGGAGGGUGCAAGCGUUAAUCGGAAUUACUGGGCGUAAAGCGCGCGUAGGCGGUUUGUUAAGCGAGAUGUGAAAGCCCAGGGCUCAACCUUGGAACUGCAUUUCGAACUGGCAGGCUAGAGUACAAGAGAGGGUGGUAGAAUUUCCUGUGUAGCGGUGAAAUGCGUAGAUAUAGGAAGGAAUACCAGUGGCGAAGGCGGCCACCUGGCUUGAUACUGACGCUGAGGUGCGAAAGCGUGGGGAGCGAACAGGAUUAGAUACCCUGGUAGUCCACGCCGUA